rnacentral:lncRNA from 1 species
AUGCUUGAGAGUUACCUGAGAAGACAAGGUCUUGUCGGAACUCGUUACACGCCUCUUGUAGGAGAUGUGAGAAGGAGUUUUAGCAUGUUGAAGGAAGCAAGAUCCAAACCGAUGAAACCAACGGAUGAUCUCAUCUCACUUGUCAUGCCUUACUCUUUUCACAUGCUCAACACUUACGGUUGAGAUUUUAAAUUCUUUUUGUAUUUACUAGAGGUCUAAACGGUUCUUCUUCUAAUAUAUAUGCAUGUAUGUAUCUGUGGCUACAACAGGGAAGACAUUUUUCACAUGGUCAGGACCCAUACCUGCCAUAACAAUAAUGAAUCCACAGCUGAUCAAAGAAGUGUACAACAAGUUUUAUGAUUUCGAGAAGACGCACACGUUUCCUUUGACUUCAUUGCUAACUGAUGGACUUGCUAAUGCCGAUGGAGAUAAAUGGGUGAAACACCGGAAGAUUAUCAACCCGGCAUUCCAUUUUGAGAAGAUUAAGGUUUCAAAUCCUCUUCUCUAAUAUUGUCACAAAACCAUGCAUGUUAAUAUUGCUUCUGGCUGACGAGUGAAUGGCCUUUUUUUGUGACCUGAUUAUGAUUUUGUGUAUAGAAUAUGGUCCCUACGUUUUAUAAAAGUUGCAUCGAGGUCAUGUGUGAAUGGGAGAAGUUAGUUUCAGAUAAAGGGUCGUCGUGCGAGCUUGAUGUUUGGCCAUGGAUUGUGAAUAUGACCGGAGAUGUGAUCUCUCGAACCGCUUUUGGUAGCAGUUACAAAGAAGGACAGAGGAUAUUCAUAUUACAAGCAGAAUUAGCCCACCUCAUCAUACUAGCUCUUGGAAAGAAUUACAUUCCUGCAUACCGGUAAGAAACUUUACUUGUUUUGGUCUCUAAUUACUUAGCAUGACUCUUGGUUACAAUACUCUUCUUGGAACUGUGAAUUUCAUUCUUCUUUGUUUUUGUAUGUGUAGGCAUUUCCCAACUAAGAAUAACAGAAGGAUGAAAACAAUAGUCAAAGAAAUCCAAGUCAUACUAAGAGGGAUCAUUAGCCAUAGAGAAAAGGCGAGAGACGCUGGAGAAGCACCGAGUGACGAUUUGUUAGGUAUACUUCUUAAAUCGAAUUCAGAGCAAAGUAAAGGAAAUGGACUGAACAUGGAAGAAAUCAUGGAAGAGUGCAAGUUGUUUUAUUUUGCGGGACAAGAGACCACUUCAGUACUUUUGGCUUGGACUAUGGUUUUGUUAAGCCAACACCAAGACUGGCAAGCUCGUGCACGAGAGGAAGUGAUGCAAGUUUUUGGCCAUAACAAACCUGAUCUACAAGGCAUUAACCAACUCAAAGUUGUAAGUAUUAACCAAACCAAAAAAAAAUCAAGUUGAUGCAUUUCUUCAAUUUUGUUUUGAUGAUUUUGUUCCUACAGAUGACAAUGAUUAUAUAUGAAGUCCUGAGGCUAUAUCCUCCAGUAAUCCAGAUGAACAGAGCGACUCACAAAGAGAUAAAGCUAGGUGAUAUGACACUACCAGGCGGUAUUCAAGUCCAUAUGCCUGUUCUGCUAAUCCACCGUGACACUAAGCUUUGGGGCGAUGAUGCAGCGGAGUUCAAGCCCGAGAGGUUCAAAGACGGGAUCGCAAAGGCAACAAAGAACCAGGUCUGCUUCUUGCCUUUCGGGUGGGGACCGAGGAUUUGCAUCGGUCAGAACUUCGCUCUGUUGGAAGCAAAGAUGGCUCUGGCUUUGAUUCUUCAGAGAUUCUCCUUCGAGCUUUCACCUUCCUAUGUUCAUUCACCUUACAGAGUCUUCACUAUACAUCCACAGUGUGGGGCUCAUCUUAUCCUGCACAAGCUUUGAUACUAUACUCCACGUGAUGUUAUCAAAACUUAUACAUAUGAGAAACAAAAUUUCAUAGAGGAAUUUAUUCAAGAUAAUAGUCAUAUUAACCAUGUUUUGAAUUGAGAAUGCUUCCCUAAUAACAACUAAUCCAUCUAUUUUUGAGUAUUAUUUUAUACCAAAUAGAAAUGCCUUAGUGGAAGAGAUGAUAUUUAAAUAAGAAUCUACAAAUUUGGGGAAAAAAUCUAUAAAGUUUAAAAUCUCUCAACUUUUGAAAUACACAGUUGUAACUCCCCAAUAAAAGCAAAAUUGAUCAAUUAGUGACUCAAGUAAAGCAAAAUAUCAAUGAGUCAAAAUAAAACAAUUUUGUCCAAAACACAAACUAUACAGUAUUUUAAAACAUGAGGGGUGGUAAUAUCCAUAUCCAUACCUUCUUCGAAACUAUCUCUCUUCUCUGGGAGAGAAAAAUGGAGAUAUCAGUUGCAUGCGUAACAGUUUCUGUAGUUGUAGUUGUUGUGUCAUGGUGGGUAUGGAGAACUUUACAGUGGGUUUGGUUUAAACCAAAGAUGCUUGAAAGUUACUUGAGAAGACAAGGUCUUGCCGGAACUCCUUACACACCUCUUAUCGGUGAUUUGAAGAGGAACGUCAACAUGUUGACGGAGGCAACAUCCAAACCCAUCAAACUAACCGAAGAUAUCACACCUCGUGUCCUGCCUCAUCCCUUCCAAAUGCUCAAGACUCACGGUAUGUGUCCUGGUUGGCCUUUUGCUUCCUCUCUGUUUUAAACUGUUGAUCAAGAGAAAAAGAGUUUCAAAUUUUGUAUAUCUAUGUGGUUUGAAACAGGAAGGACUUUCUUUACAUGGCUUGGACCCAAACCAACCAUCACCAUAAUGGAUCCAGAGCUAAUCAAAGAAGUGUUCAACAAAGUUUAUGAUUAUCCGAAGGCGCAAACGUUUCUUUUGGGCAGACUAAUAGCCACUGGAAUCAUUAAUUACGAUGGUGAUAAAUGGGCGAAACACCGAAGAAUCAUCAACCCUGCUUUUCAUAUAGAGAAGAUCAAGGUUUAAGGCUUUAUUUUUCAGUCAUGAAUCAAGUUGUAUGCUCAUUUUAUUCUGAACUAAUUUGUGCAUUCUAACUUCUAUGUAUAGAAUAUGGUACCUGCGUUCCACCAGAGCUGCAGCGAUGUUGUUGGCGAAUGGAGCAAGUUAGUGUCGGAUAAAGGGUCGUCGUCCUGUGAGGUAGACGUUUGGCCUUGGCUUGUGAGUAUGACUGGAGAUGUGAUCUCUCGUACUGCUUUUGGCAGCAGCUACAAAGAAGGGCAGAGGAUCUUUGAGCUACAAGCAGAACUAGUACAUCUCAUCUUACAAGCUUUUUGGAAAGUUUACAUCCCUGGAUAUCGGUAAUAAAAGAUCUCAACCUGCCUGGUUUUAGAACUUCACUAGUGCUGCAAACUAUUACAGAUUGUGAACCAUGAUGUGUCAUAUACUCAUAUUCUCUCUGUCUUCUGUUUGUGUAGUUAUCUCCCUACGAAGAGUAAUAGAAGGAUGAAAGCAGCAGCUAGAGAAAUCCAAGUUAUACUGAAAGGGAUCGUUAACAAAAGGUUAAGGGCGAGAGAAGCUGGGAAAGCAGCACCAAACGACGAUUUGUUGGGAAUACUUCUUGAAUCAAAUUUGGGGCAAGCCAAAGGAAAUGGAAUGAGUACUGAGGAUGUGAUGGAGGAGUGCAAGUUGUUCUAUUUCGCCGGGCAAGAGACAACUUCGGUACUUCUGGUCUGGGCAAUGGUGCUGUUAAGCCACCACCAAGAUUGGCAGGCUCGUGCACGAGAGGAAGUGAAGCAAGUUUUUGGCGAUAAAGAACCUGAUACAGAAUGUCUUAGCCAGCUCAAAGUUGUAAGUAUAAACCAAAUCAUAAACCUUCAGGUGACUUUAGUACUUUUAUUGUGUUUAGAUGGUUUUGCUGAAUGUUUCCAACAGAUGACAAUGAUAUUAUAUGAGGUUCUCAGGCUAUAUCCUCCUGUAACUCACCUGACCCGAGCGAUUGACAAAGAGAUGAAGCUAGGUGACUUGACACUACCAGCCGGUGUUCAUAUCAGUCUACCUAUAAUGCUAGUCCAACGCGACCCCAUGCUGUGGGGUACUGAUGCAGCAGAAUUUAAGCCUGAGAGAUUCAAAGACGGUCUUUCAAAGGCAACAAAGAGCCAAGUCUCCUUCUUUCCAUUUGCAUGGGGACCGAGGAUAUGCAUCGGCCAGAAUUUUGCCAUGUUAGAGGCAAAGAUGGCAAUGGCGUUGAUUCUACAGACAUUCACCUUCGAGCUUUCUCCUUCCUAUGUUCAUGCGCCUCAAACAGUCGUUACCAUUCACCCGCAGUUCGGUGCACAUCUUAUUCUGCGCAAGCUAUAAUUCUAUAACCACAUGUGCUGUUGUCAAAUAAACAUAGGAAAAUAAUCCAGAUCAUAAUAUAAAACUCAAAUCUUUUUCUUAUUUGAAGUCAGAACUUUGUCCUCACAUAUGUCUUGAGAAACCAAAAUAUUUCCAAUAAAAAGAGUGAAACGCAUGGACCAAUAGAUUUCUUCCUCUUUUCGUCGCUUUUCACACAAAGUCCAAAUAUGCUUCUGCGCUUUGGUGGCAUGUGACUGUGAGGGUCCAAGUAAAGCAAAAGAUCAAUUAAGCACAACAAAAUAAUUGUCCAAACCACCAAAAUAUAAAAUAUAAAAUAAUUUGUGACCAUCAUCACCACAUCCAUAUCUUCUCCGAUAUUCUAAACCCUGAGAAUGGUCACAAAUUCUCUAACUCUCUCUCUCUCUCUCUAGUAGAAAACAUGGAGAUAUCAGUUGCAUCGGUAACAGUUUCUGUAGCUGUAGUUGUUGUGUCGUGGUGGGUAUGGAGAACUUUACAGUGGGUUUGGUUUAAACCAAAGAUGCUUGAGAGUUACCUGAGAAGACAAGGUCUUGCUGGAACUCCUUACACGCCUCUUGUCGGUGAUUUGAAGAAGAAUUUUAGCAUGCGGGCUGAGGCAAGAUCCAAACCCAUCAACCUAACGGAUGAUAUCACACCACGUAUCGUACCUUAUCCGUUGCAAAUGCUCAAGACUCAUGGUAUGCUUCCUUGUUGGCAUCUUGAUUCCUCUUUGUUUAGAACUAUUGUAGAGUAUCUAGAAAAGGUUUCAACUUUCGUAUCUCUAUGUGGUUGAAACAGGGAGGACUUUCUUUACAUGGUUUGGAGCCAUACCAACAAUCACCAUAAUGGAUCCUGAGCAAAUCACAGAAGUGCUCAACAAAGUUUAUGAUUUCCAGAAGGCACAUACGUUUCCUCUGGGCAGAUUAAUAGCCACUGGAGUCCUUAGUUAUGAUGGUGAUAAAUGGGCGAAACACCGAAGAAUCAUCAACCCGGCUUUCCACCUUGAGAAGAUCAAGGUUUAAAGGCUUUAUCUUCCAUAGUCCCCAAUCAGAUUAGAUUGCUUUAUGUAUGUAUGUUCAUUUGGCUCUGAACCAAAUUGUGCCUUCUGCUUCUAUGUAUAGAAUAUGGUACCUGCGUUCCACCAGAGCUGCAGCGAGAUUGUUUGCAAAUGGGACAAGUUAGUGUCGGAUAAAGAGUCAUCAUGUGAGGUAGAUGUUUGGCCUGGGCUUGUGAGUAUGACUGCAGAUGUGAUCUCCCGUACUGCUUUUGGCAGCAGCUGCGUAGAAGGGCAGAGGAUAUUUGAGCUCCAAGCAGAACUAGCACAGCUCAUCAUUCAAACGGUUAGGAAAGCUUUCAUCCCUGGAUAUAGGUAAUGAAAAACUCAACUUAUCUGAUUUAAUAUAGGUCCUUCUGAGCUUGACUCUUGAUCUUAAAAUGUCGCAAUCUAUUCCUUAAAGAUAUGAACCGUGUUAACAUUAUCUUUCUGCCAAUCUUUUUCUGUAGUUAUCUCCCAACAAAAGGUAACAGAAGGAUGAAAGCAAAAGCAAGAGAAAUCCAAGUUAUACUGAGAGGGAUCGUUAACAAAAGGUUAAGGGCCAGAGAAGCUGGUGAAGCACCAAACGACGAUUUACUGGGAAUACUUCUUGAAUCGAAUUUGGGGCAAACGAAAGGAAACGGAAUGAGUACCGAGGAUCUGAUGGAGGAGUGCAAGUUGUUCUAUUUCGUCGGGCAAGAGACAACAUCAGUACUUCUGGUUUGGACAAUGGUUCUGUUAAGUCAACACCAAGAUUGGCAGGCUCGUGCACGAGAAGAAGUGAAGCAAGUGUUUGGCGAUAAAGAACCUGAUGCAGAAGGACUCAACCAGCUCAAAGUUGUAAGUAAAAGCAAAUCAUAAACCUCUUGGUGACUUUUGUUGUGUUUUGAUGAUUUUUGAUGAAUGAUUUGAUCCCACGCAGAUGACGAUGAUAUUAUAUGAGGUCCUUAGGCUAUAUCCUCCAAUACCUCAGCUGAGCAGAGCCAUUCACAAAGAGAUGGAGCUUGGAGAUCUGACACUACCAGGCGGCGUUCUGAUCAAUCUACCUAUCCUUCUAGUCCAACGCGACACGGAGCUGUGGGGAAACGAUGCAGGAGAGUUCAAGCCAGAUAGAUUCAAAGACGGUCUCUCAAAGGCAACAAAGAACCAAGCCUCCUUCUUUCCUUUUGCGUGGGGAUCGAGGAUCUGCAUUGGCCAGAAUUUUGCAUUGCUUGAGGCAAAGAUGGCAAUGGCAUUGAUACUCCAGAGAUUCUCCUUUGAGCUUUCUCCUUCCUAUGUUCACGCACCUUACACAGUCUUCACCAUUCACCCACAGUUCGGUGCUCCUCUUAUCAUGCACAAGCUCUAAUCGUUCGUAGCAACCCAUUUUGUUGUUAUCAAAUAUACUUUCCAUUCACAGAUGAAACAAUUCCAUAUCAGUCUACCUAUAAUGCUAGUCCAACGCGACACCAUGAUGUGGGAAUUCAAGCCUGAGAGAUUCAAAGACGGUCUUUCAAAGGCAACAAAGAGCCACGUCUCCUUCUUUCCAUUUGCAUGGGGACCGAAGAUAUGCAUCGGCCAGAAUUUUGCCAUGUUGGAGGCAAAGAUGGCAAUGGCGUUGAUUCUACAGAGAUUCUCCUUCGAGCUUUCUCCUUCCUAUGUUCAUGCGCCUCAAAUAGUCGUCACCAUUCACCCACAGUUCGGUGCACAUCUUAUCCUGCGCAAGCUGUAAUUCUAGAAUCCCAUGUGCUCUUGUCAGAUAAACAGAGGAAAAUAAACCAGAUCAUAGUAUAAAACUCAAAUCUUUUUAUUAAUUGAAUUCAGAACUUUGUGCUCACAUAUGUCUUGACAAACCAAAAUAUUUCCAAGAAAAAGAGUGAAACGCAUGGACCAAUAUAUGUCUUCCUAUUUUCGUCGCUUUUCACACGAAGUCCAAAUUUGCUUCUUGCGCCUUGGUGGCACGACUGUGAGGGUCCAAGUAAAGCAAAAAUUAAUUAGUCAUUACAAAAUAAUUGCCCAAAAUAUCAAAAUAUAAAGUAUUUAAGACAUCAGGGGUGAUGUCAUCACCACAUCCAUAUCUUCUCCGAAAUUCUAAACAUUUAUACAUCCUGAGAAUGGUCACAAAUUCUCUACCUCUCUCUCUCUCUCUCUCUGGUAGAGAAAAUGGAGAUAUCAGUUGCAUCGGUAACAGUUUCUGUAGCUGUAGUUGUUGUGUCAUGGUGGGUAUGGAGAACUUUACAGCGGGUUUGGCUUAAACCAAAGAUGCUUGAGAGUUACCUGAGAAGACAAGGUCUUGCCGGAACUCCUUACACGCCUCUUGUCGGUGAUUUGAAGAGAAAUUUUAGCAUGCUGGCUGAGGCAAGAUCCAAACCCAUCAACCUAACAGAUGAUAUCACACCACGUAUCGUGCCUUAUCCGUUGCAAAUGCUCAAGACUCAUGGUAUGCUUCCCGGUUGGCAUCUUGAUUCCUCUUUGUUUAGAACUAUUUUGUAGAGUAUCU